GCGUUGCUAUGGCGCCGGGGGCGGAUCUUCCCUGACGGGCAGUACUUUCACCUGCGGCACCGGGGCGUGGUCCAGCAGUCCCUGACCCCGCACUGGGGCCACCGCCUGCACCUGAAGAAAAACCCCAAGCUGUGUGCUUUCUGUGGCUCAGACCCGCCCGGACCCCAAGUCUAUACAGCAAGAGGAGGCAGGAAGACCCAGAUACGGAAAUCAUGGCGCCUGCCAGGGCCUGGUGCAGUGGUUCCAGCAGCAGACGCUGCAGCGGCGGGUGAAACGCUCUGUGGUGGUGCCCACGGACCCCUGGUUCUCCAAGCAGUGGUACAUGAACAGCGAGGCCCAACCAGACCUGAGCAUCCUGCAGGCCUGGAGUCAGGGGCUGUCAGGCCAGGGCAUCGUGGUCUCUGUGCUGGACGAUGGCAUCGAGAAGGACCACCCGGACCUCUGGGCCAACUAC
rnacentral:sRNA from 1 species